rnacentral:rRNA from 1 species
UGACGGUACCUGACUAAGAAGCACCGGCUAAAUACGUGCCAGCAGCCGCGGUAAUACGUAUGGUGCAAGCGUUAUCCGGAUUUACUGGGUGUAAAGGGUGCGUAGGUGGCAUGGCAAGUCAGAAGUGAAAUGCGGGGGCUCAACCCCUGAACUGCUUUUGAAACUGUCAAGCUAGAGUAUAGGAGAGGAAAGCGGAAUUCCUAGUGUAGCGGUGAAAUGCGUAGAUAUUAGGAGGAACACCAGUGGCGAAGGCGGCCUGCUGGACGACAACUGACGCUGAGGCGCGAAAGCGUGGGGAGCAAACAGGAUUAGAUACCCUG